rnacentral:tRNA from 1 species
AAUUAAUGAACUUGAAUAAGUAUAUGUUUUGAAAACAUAAUAAAGAAGAUUAAUCUUCUAUUAAUUU